rnacentral:rRNA from 1 species
UACGUAGGGGGCAAGCGUUAUCCGGAUUUACUGGGUGUAAAGGGAGCGUAGACGGCAGCGCAAGUCUGGAGUGAAAUCCCAUGGCUUAACCAUGGAACUGCUUUGGAAACUGUGCAGCUGGAGUGCAGGAGAGGUAAGCGGAAUUCCUAGUGUAGCGGUGAAAUGCAUAGAUAUCACGCAGAACUCCGAUUGCGAAGGCAGCUUACUAAGCCAUAACUGACACUGAAGCACGAAAGCGUGGGGAUCAAACAGG